CUACGUAGCUCAGUCGGUAGAGCAGAGGACUGAAAAUCCUCGUGUCGGUGGUUCGAUUCCGCCCGUAGC
rnacentral:tRNA from 1 species